UGCUGUGCCUGUUGUGCCUGUUGUGCCUGUUUCAAUGAAAGUGAUAAAGGUGAGGGUGGAGAACCCAAACGGUGUGGAUCUGAACGACCAAGCUUUUCUGGAUGCGAUGUUGGUGGAGGCGAAAAAGAACCUAAGGGCCCAGGGAUUGGACGACAACGUCCAACUGGCCUGGAGGAAGCAGCCGGAUGGAAAAGUCUUCCACGAGGAGGAGGAGAAGAAGAGGGAUGAGCUCUAAAGCUGAAUUGCUGUGUCGGCUUUUAUCAGAGAAAAGUGUAUUUCUUUCCUCAAAGUCCUCAUGUUACAGAAUUCAGCUGCAACAAUGAUCUGAAUAAUCUAUUAGUUACGAUCAUUUUGAUAGAAGAUAGAGAAUGUAAUGCUUUUCCUUGUUAUAUAUGGUUAUGAAUUUAAUAUGUUUAGGGUUUUCACUAUUGAAUGUGUUUGCUUGGCCGGUGGGAGAUAAUAAUACAAUGUUUGGCUUUUGUUGAAUUUUGAUCAAGAUUAAAUUAUCAAUAAAAAAAAUGACCUUUAAU